UGGCUUCCAUCUGGAAGAAUCUGGAGACAGGUGCUGCAUGGCUGUCGUCAGCUCGUGUCGUGAGAUGUUGGGUUAAGUCCCGCAACGAGCGCAACCCUUGCCUUUAGUUGCCAGCAGUUCGGCUGGGCGACUCUAAAGGGACUGCCGGUGUUAAACCGGAGGAAGGUGGGGAUGACGUCAAGUCCUCAUGGCCUUUAUGACCAGGGCUACACACGUACUACAAUGGCCGAUACAAAGGGCAGCGACACUGCGAGGUGAAGCCAAUCCCGUAAAAUCGGUCUCAGUCCGGAUUGGAGUCUGCAACUCGACUCCAUGAAGUUGGAAUCGCUAGUAAUCGUGGAUCAGCAUGCCACGGUGAAUACGUUCCCGGGCCUU
rnacentral:rRNA from 1 species